rnacentral:lncRNA from 1 species
AAUCGAUUGUCAUUAGUUCACAAUCGAUUGUCAUGCAGUCUUGGCUUAACAUAAUCGAUUAUCAUAAGUACAUAAUCAAUUAUCUUAGUCCAUAUUUUAGAGGCAUGUUUAAAAAUCAUUUUGACUAAAGUAAAUAUGCAUAUUUUAAAAUCGUUUAGCAUUAAAUUAAAUAUGCAUGAUUUUGUAAAAAUAAUUUUACGAGAGAAGCCAUGUUAUGAGUCAAGUUGUCGGAUUAAGAUCACAAUUAAGAACGGCUCAUUUAAACUAUAAAGCUUUGUCUUGUGCUUGAAUCUCGUUAUCCACCAAUUAUGCGCUGGUACUUGAACUUCGUCAUAUAUCACUUUGCGCUUCGUUUGUCAUUCAUCAAAACCUACACAUAAGAACACACGUUUUAGUAUAAAGCCUUGAGAACGUGUUUCCAAC